rnacentral:rRNA from 1 species
GUGUCAGCAGCCGCGGUAAUACGAAGGGGGCUAGCGUUGUUCGGAAUUACUGGGCGUAAAGCGCACGUAGGCGGAUUUGUUAGUCAGGGGUGAAAUCCCGGGGCUCAACCUCGGAACUGCCUUUGAUACUGCAAGUCUAGAGUCCGGAAGAGGUGAGUGGAAUUCCUAGUGUAGAGGUGAAAUUCGUAGAUAUUAGGAAGAACACCAGUGGCGAAGGCGGCUCACUGGUCCGGUACUGACGCUGAGGUGCGAAAGCGUGGGGAGCAAACAGGAUUAGAAACCCCUGUAGUCC